AGGAUUAGAAUUCAUCUCCCCAGGAUGGCUUGGAGAGAAUACUGGAUAGAGAUUGCAAGUGUUUCGUACCCCUGCAAUUAUAUUUCUUGCUGUAAAUUGAUAAGCCGAGGUGACGAGGAGGGGGAAGGGAGCGUGGUCUGGCCUGGAGCUUCUGGCUCUCAGGGCCACUGCUCUCUACCCUGACCCGUGAGGCCACCACUUGGGCUAGUUAAUGGAAGACCUCGGGCCCCUAGGAAGCAGCGAGUUCCAGCCACUGCCUGGAGUUGUCAUCAAAGACAAGUUUAUUCCCCAAGACCCGUGUGCCACCAGAAGGGCCACCCGGCUUCUGGGUGUCUGCAUGCAGAGAUCAGGAUAAGUAUUUGGAGGACAGGUGCCAACAGCCUUGACGAGAUAUUCAGAGGAAAGUCUGGUUCAUCUGGCUUCAUCUGGCUUCAUCCUCUGGCCACCCAUUCCCAGAAGGCUGGCAGCAGUGGCCCCUACCAGAUGACCUCUGCUUUCCCUGGGACAAGGGGGCAGGUAGCACCACUGAUGGGACAUCACCAGGUAUCUUUUGGCUUCAGGUUGCAGAAAUGUUUUGUCCUUUUUGUACGACUUUCAUUUCAUCCGUCCCACGUCGGUUUGUUUUUUGGGAAGCCUCUGCCCCACCCGCCUCUUCCGAACACCACCCUGAUCUUCAGACGCUCUGUGACUCAGUCAUGGGGAUUCCAGGAUUCCAAUCGCCCAGGUUUCUGAGGUUAUAAGACUUCAGCAUCCACAGGAGCUAAUGUUCCUUCUCAAAGCCCCCAGUUUCCAAACAGGAAGGACAUAAGCCCCGGACCAGCGCCACCAAACAUCCCAACGGGUGUUAUUUGGGUCCAAGUGUACACUGUUUAAUGUCAAAUGGGUGAAAAAGUCAAACCAGCCUUACCGGAAACCUCCUGAUGUAUUCUGGACAGGCAUGAGAGGAAAAGGACAUGGCUCAUAAAAGUCCACUUAACAGUAAUAACCGCGUCUCCAGCACAGUGCUUGGGCGGUUUCAUGUUUAUAAGGGCAUCUUUCUUCCUUGAGGGAAU